rnacentral:lncRNA from 1 species
GUGUAUAUGUAGAUGAGUCUGAUAGCGGUAUUUCACUUAUACUUUUGUGGUGGUUAUUCAUAGCCUAUCGUGUUCACUUUCUUGUCUUAUGUAUGUGCUAAACAUUUAAGUCACAUCCUAGCUUAGCACACAGAAAAUUGGUUGACGUAAAUUGGUUGAGGACAUGUUGCUGUGGGUAUUGUUCUAAAGUAGAAGCUUAGGAUUCCUCGUUUGUAUAUGCCUGUUUCUCAUUGUUUGUGCCUGUUUCUCAUUGUUCAAAGCUGCUUCCUAAAUUAUCGCAUUCUUACUUUGCUUUUAAGACUUACUUUGACAUCUUUUAAAUAUGUCUUGGCAGUUUC